rnacentral:rRNA from 1 species
UACAGAGGUCCCGAGCGUUGUUCGGAUUCACUGGGCGUAAAGGGUGCGCAGGUGGGUUUGCAAGUUUGAUGUGAAAUCCCCGGGCUCAACCCGGGAACUGCGUCCGAUACUGGAAGGCUUGAAUCCGGGAGAGGGAUGCGGAAUUCCAGGUGUAGCGGUGAAAUGCGUAGAUAUCUGGAGGAACACCGGUGGCGAAGGCGGCAUCCUGGACCGGUAUUGACGCUGAGGCGCGAAAGCCAGGGGAGCAAACGGG